GACGAACGCUGGCGGCGUGCUUAACACAUGCAAGUCGAACGGAAAGGCCCUGCUUUUGUGGGGUGCUCGAGUGGCGAACGGGUGAGUAACACGUGAGUAACCUGCCCUUGACUUUGGGAUAACUUCAGGAAACUGGGGCUAAUACCGGAUAGGAUCUCCUGCUGCAUGGGGGGGGUUGGAAAGAUUCGGCGGUUGGGGAUGGACUCGCGGCUUAUCAGCUUGUUGGUGGGGUAGUGGCUUACCAAGGCUUUGACGGGUAGCCGGCCUGAGAGGGGGGACGGCCACAAUAGGACUGAGAUACGGACCAGACUCCUACGGGAGGCAGCAGUGGAGAAUAUUGCACAAUGGGCGGAAGCCUGAUGCAGCAACGCCGCGUGCGGGAUGACGGCCUUCGGGGUGUAAACCGCUUUCGCCUGUGACGAAGCGUGAGUGACGGUAAUGGGUAAAGAAGCACCGGCUAACUACGUG
rnacentral:rRNA from 1 species